rnacentral:misc_RNA from 1 species
GAAAUGCGAUAAGUAAUGUGAAUUGCAGAAUUCCGUGAAUCAUCGAAUCUUUGAACGCACAUUGCGCCCUCUGGUAUUCCGGGGGGCAUGCCUGUCCGAGCGUCAUUGCGAACCCCUCAAGCACGGCUUGUGUGAUGGGCCCUCCCGCGUCUUGGUCGUCAAGACGGACCCGAAAUGCAGUGGCGGCUUCGCGGUUAUCCGAUCAGCCAGAGCGUAUGGGGACUUUCUCUCUGUCACACGCCCGCGGCGCGGACCGACGCCUGUCGACCUUUAUUCAUCUUUUUCUCGGUUGACCUCGGAUCAGGUAGGGAUACCCGCUGAACUUAAGC